rnacentral:rRNA from 1 species
CCUACGGGAGGCAGCAGUAAGGAAUAUUGGUCAAUGGAGGCAACUCUGAACCAGCCAUGCCGCGUGCANGAAGACUGCCUUAUGGGUUGUAAACUGCUUUUAUACGGGAAUAAACCUUGAUUCGUGAAUCGAGCUGAAUGUACCGUAAGAAUAANGAUCGGCUAACUCCGUGCCAGCAGCCGCGGUAAU